GACUUGUUCUUUUUUGGGUUGUGCAAUGUUUAGAACUGAGGUGAGAACUGAAAUGUGAAUAUUUCAUCAGGGCAACAUUUCAGUGUGAACACCAAUGGCUGAAAACACAUUUCUCUGUACGGAAACGAGAGGUUUAAGCAUUACUCGUGUCAUAUGAAGCUUCAAAACAACAGUGAACAAGGUUUGCUUUGUUGUUAUUAAUAUUUGUUGUUCAUGGUUUUACUUUUCUAGCCAAUGUAAUGCUUGAAUGGGCUUCUGGGUGAGAUGGCCUGAGCGUGACUUUUACUGAUGUAUAUAUUGUGAAUUGGGGAUGUACUACUUCUGUUUUUCCUUUUUUUUUAAAGACAAGCCUCUGCGGAUGAAUGUUCAAAGAUUAUCUGGAUUGCAGGUCCCUCAUGUAUUGGAAUAAAAAUAUUGGGAUAAAUUCAUCUUUUGAGCAUGUAUUACAAGCAGAUUGGGUGUAUAUUCAGCCAGGAAAAGUAUGGCAUGGGAAAAGAAAAUGUAUUGAAAAGUUUGUUUCGACACUUUUAUUCUUUUUGUUCUGAUCAAUCUGUCAUUUAUUUUUUUUAAUUUGUCCAUCCAUUCCUCUGUUCAUUAUCCAUCAGUUUGUCUGUUGCCUUUGACCCAUUAACCAACUAACCUGCCAGCCAUGUAUACAUCCAUCUAUUUGUCCAUCACACAUUUCAAUUUUUGUACCACCUAAAGUUGGUGUCUGUAAUUACUCAUUUAUUUCUCUCUUCAUCUGUUCAUCCAGCCACCUGUGUCUCCAUCUGUUGUCCCUCCAUCUAUCUAUUCAUCCACCUUUCUAACUGUCAGUUCAUUUCUUAUCUAUCCAUUUGUCCAUUUUCUUCUUUUCUCACUUUUCUGGGGUUCUAUCCUGGAGUCUGAAAAGCUGAAGGAACCCUAAUAACAUCAACUUGUGCAUAUUUUAACCACAAGGGGGCGCUGACUCUGCAUGUGACACCACAGUAGGUUAACAGUAAAUGACAAGACCCUGCUCGCCUAAAGAUCUGUGUUUAAUUUUAACUCAGACUAAAUCCACUUAAAAUCCUUCCUUUUCACAAAUUUCCCUAAACUCUGAUUUAAAAGCCGUGUUAACACCAGGCUUACUGAGGUCAACAUUUGCACGCGGCCAAGCGGAAAACAACUCGCUCCCCAUUGAACGCAGGGGAAGAAGUGGCAUAACUGACAGCCAUAUCAGCACAGGAUGUGAUGGCAUCCCAGUGUUGCCUAACUAAAUGUUUUCUUCCUGAGUAAGUGUCUGAAAUCGUUCUGAAGGGGAAAAAAAAUAACACUUUGCUGUGAACAUUCAUCUCUCAUGGCCCUCCUUGCUUGCAGCACACCCACAUGCACAGGGGAGGUUUCCAUACGGUGUGGUCUGGACGUUAGCAGCAGCCACCAGAAAGGCAUCUUGAAGCACUUGGAGGCAGGGGUAUACUUAUUCUGCUUUGGCAUGCACCUGUUGAUUUACAUAAUGGUAUUUCUCAAAUUACCCCCUCAGAAAGUCAUUAUCCUGAACUACAGUACCCUGCAUGCUGGAGCUGUAAAUUAACAUAUAUGGAUGCAUGGUGCAGCUGCAGGGAAAGAACUGGCAACAAAUGAAUGAAUCCAUCUUUUAUUACCAACACUACUGCAGUUGGUCUUUUCUUUUUCUCUAACAGAGUCCAGGUCCAGGCCCUAAAAUCUACUCUCCUGCAACUUGUAGUUGUCUCUCUUCUCCAACACACCUGAAUCGAAUGGCUCAUCAGCAUCUUUUAGCUCUGCAGAGGCCUGGUAACGAGCCAUUUGUUUGAUUCAGGUGUGUAGAAACAGAUGCACAUCUAAAAGCUGCAGGAUAGUAGAUCUUCAGGACUGAACUUGUGGUUUUCUACAGGAUCUGAGGAGGACAAAAAGAAUGACGUGUGACUAUUUAUGUUUGUGCAAAGUUUCUAUAUCGUCCAAAUUAGAUCAGACUGCUCCAUAACCAGGGACUCAACAUCCAAAGACGGAGAUGGAGCACAUUCAAUGCGGACAGCAUGCUUGAGGUUACAGAGUCCACUGAACAUCGGUGAACAUUCCCAGGGUUCGCCCGCCGAACAGAAUCACUCCAAGAUUGCACUGACAGCUCAUCCAGGAAGUCUCAGAAGAGCCCAAAACAUCUAAAGAACUUAAGAGCUUAAUCAUCUCAGUGAAGGGAUCUUCCAGAAUGAGCUGGAAAGUGCUGGUGUGGAAAGGGAUGCUCGGGUCUCCAGAACUGGACAUGUCCGAUAUGAGAAUAAGAGGAAAACAAUGGAUGAAUGGAUGGAUCCAACAAUUAAUUAAUCCCAAGUGAAUAGAAGAAGUAUUUCUUAAAAGUCAGAUGACAUGACCUGAUAUCUCUAAAAGCUUGACAGAAAACACAAAAUUUUAGCUCAUUGCUAAUAAAUUAAACUCACUUGUUUUAAAUAAAUAAAGUAGCAAUGGCGUGUGAAAACUUUGAAUUUGUCAAUCCACACUUGCGUGGAAAGCUACAGUUACUGUCCAGGUCAGAGGUGUAUCAUUUUGAGCUUAUGCACACUAAAUUUCAAUUUGUUUUCAGAAUGCAUUGGUGUUAAUAUAAGUGUCUAGGGGCUGGGUCACCGAGAUCUCCACGUUCGACUGCCACCCCAUCCUUUUGGCACCGGUCUUUCAUGGUUAUCCCUGCAGGUGGUAGACCCACUGAGGAUAGCCUAACACCAUUCCUAUUGGCUUGGCCCCGUGAGGAGUGGCCAGAUUACCAGCCACUCAUGGCAAACCCCAGCCCCAGGACUGGCUCCAGAGCGGGGCCCUGGCUCCACUGUACUGGGUGAUGUCUGAUGUCUCCAUCUUCCGGUUAUCAUGGGGAAUGUUGAAUCACUCUUUGUCUGACCCUUCACCCGGAG